CCUGGUUGAUCCUGCCAGUAACAUAUGCUUGUCUCAAAGAUUAAGCCAUGCAGGUCUAAGUACUCACGGCCGGUACAGUGAAACUGCGAAUGGCUCAUUAAAUCAGUUAUGGUCCCUUUGAUCGCUCCGCCCGGUACUUGGAUAACUGUGGCAAUUCCAGAGCUAAUACAUGCAAACGGGCGCCGACCUUCCCCCCCCCGGGGGGCGGGGACGCGUGCAUUUAUCAGAUCCAAACCCAUCCGGGGUCGAGGCUCCGGCCUCACCCCGGUCCCUUUGGUGACUCUAGAUAACCUCGGGCCGAUCGCGCGCCCUCUGCGGCGGCAACGAUUCUUUCGAAUGUCUGCCCUAUCAACUUUCGAUGGUACUUUAGGCGCCUACCAUAGUGACCACGGGUAACGGGGAAUCAGGGUUCGAUUCCGGAGAGGGAGCCUGAGAAACGGCUACCACAUCCAAGGAAGGCAGCAGGCGCGCAAAUUACCCAUUUCCGACUCGGAGAGGUAGUGACGAAAAAUAACAAUACAGGUCUCUUUCGAGGCCCUGUAAUUGGAAUGAGUGUAUCCUAGACCCCAUGGGCGAGGACCCAUUGGAGGGCAAGUCUGGUGCCAGCAGCCGCGUGUAAUUCCAGCUCCAAUAGCGUAUAUUAAAGUUGCUGCAGUUAAAAAGCUCGUAGUUGGAUCUCAGGAGUGGGCUGGCGGUCCGCCGCGAGGCGAGCCACCGCCUGUCCCGGACCUUGCCUCCCGGCGCCCCCCGGAUGCCCUUACCUGGGUGUCCAGUCAAACCGGGGCCCGGAGCGUUUACUUUGAAAAAAUUAGAGUGUUCAAAGCAGGCCGCCCGUCGCCGCUGAAUACCGCAGCUAGGAAUAAUGGAAUAGGACGUCCGGUUCUAUUUUGUGGGUUUCUGGAACUCGGGGCCAUGAUUAAGAGGGACGGCCGGGGGCAUUCGUAUUGCGUCGCUAGAGGGUGAAAUUCUUGGACCGGCGCAAGACGGACGAAAGCGAAAGCAUUUGCCAAGGAUGUUUUCAUUAAUCAAGAACGAAAGUCGGAGGUUCGAAGACGAUCAGAUACCGUCGUAGUUCUGACCGUAAACGAUGCCGACCCGCGAUCCGGCGGCGUUAUUCCCAUGACCCGCCGGGCAGCGUGCGGGAAACCACGAGUCUUUGGGUUCCGGGGGGAGUAUGGUUGCAAAGCUGAAACUUAAAGGAAUUGACGGAACAGCACACCAGAAGUGGAACCUGCGGCUUAAUUUGACUCAACACGGGGAAACUCACGAGCGCAAGACAGAGAAGGGAUUGACAGAUUGAGAGCUCUUUCUUGAUUCUUUGGGUGGUGGUGCAUGGCCGUUCUUAGUUGGUGGAGCGAUUUGUCUGGUUCAUUCCGAUAACGAACGAGACGGCUUGUUAAAUAGUUACGCGGGCCCGUGCGGUCGGCGUUCAACUUCUUAGAGGGACAAGUGGCGUUCAGCCCCCGGCCGAUCGAAAGGGAGUCUGGUUCAGAUCCCAAGAACCCGGAGUGGCGGAGACAGGCGCCGGCUAGGCGUCCAGUGCGGUAACGCAAACGAACCCGGAGAAGCUGGCUGGGUGCCCCGGGAAGAGUUCUCUUUUCUUUGUGAAGGGCAGGGCACCCUGGAAUGGGUUUCGUCCCGAGAUAGGGGCCCGUGCCCUGGAAAGCACCGCGGUUCCGGCGGCGUCCGGUGAGCUCUCGUCGGCCCUUGAAAAUCCGGGGGAGAAGGUGUGUAAGUCUCGCGCCGGGCCGUACCCAUAUCCGCAGCAGGUCUCCAAGGUGAACAGCCUCUG
rnacentral:rRNA from 1 species